UAGUAGCGGCGAGCGAACAGGGAGGAGCCCAGCACUGAAUCGCGCGCCCACUGGGACGCUGCGAAAUGUGGUGUUUGGGAGGGUCCGCCAUUCCGUUGCGGGCGUUGCGUCCAAGUCCUUCUUGAGCGGGGCCACACCCAUAGAGGGUGCCAGGCCCGUAGCGACCAGCGCCCGCUGCGGAAGGAUCUCUCCCUUGAGUCGCGUUGCUUGAUAGUGCAGCGCUAAGCGGGUGGUAAACUCCAUCAAAGGCUAAAUAUAACCACGAGACCGAUAGCGAACAAGUACCGUGAGGGAAAGUUGAAAAGAACUUUGAAGAGAGAGUUCAAUAGUACGUGAAACCGUUUAGGGGUAAACCUGAGAAACCCGAAAAUUCGAACGGGGAGAUUCAGCGUGUCUCGGCGCGCGCGAGUCGCGCUUGGUCGACGAUCGCCGUCCGCGGUGUUCGCGCCUCGCGUUGCACCGCUGCGUGUCGAAUGCGUGCACUUCUCCCCAAAGUACAACGUCGCGACCUGUUGGGUGUCGGUCUAAGGCUUCGCAGCUGCGUCCGCGCGCCGUUCGUGCGUGCGGGCUUGCGUUGUCCCGAUUGACUGCUCGAUGGUCACGCAGGGCGUAGAGUCGCGACUCGAUCGCGUUCGGCCUGGCGCAAGUACGGCCUGACCGCUCGACUCUCGGACCUGUGCCGAAGUCGGCGUCGGCUGGCUGUUAGCGUCAGCGCUCUCGAACAGACUCUGUGCACGCCCGUCAGCGGCGAUAUAGCUUUGGGUACUUUCAGGACCCG
rnacentral:rRNA from 1 species